rnacentral:tRNA from 1 species
GCCGGGGUGCUGAAAUCGGUAGACAGGCCAGCUUGAGGGGCUGGUGUCAAUAAAAUGACGUGCAGGUUCGAUUCCUGUCCCCGGCA